rnacentral:lncRNA from 1 species
CCUGGCAGCUGGAGGGACUGGACUAGUGGUUCUUAGUGGUUUCCACCUUCAGACAGCCUUGAGGGGGAAAGGUUGCUGCAGUGCUAUUUCUCUACCUCGAAAGCACCUGAAUUAGUGUGGAGAACAGGGUAAAAUUAUAAAAGUGUUAAGUUUUUAAAUAUAUUCUGGCUUAUGGUUUGUGGAAGGACUCAUGGAAUUGGGGCUGUAAUACAGGACACAGGAUUUUGACAGGGAGAGACUGGACCCUGCCUGGAACUGGGCAAUGAGGAAAGAGCAUAGCAGCAGAGUGCUAAGAGGAGCCAAUUGCCUGGGAUUUGAAGAAACAUCCUCCAAAGCUUAUCUGAACAGAAGGCCAAUCUGA